GCUGGGCAUGGUGGCACACGCCUAUAAUCCCAGCAACUUGGGAGGCUGAGACAGGAGGAUCACAAGUUCAAAGCCUCAGCAACAGCAAGGUGCUUAGCAAAGUGAGACCCUGUCUAUA
rnacentral:sRNA from 1 species